rnacentral:rRNA from 1 species
AUUGAACGCUGGCGGCAUGCUUUACACAUGCAAGUCGAACGGCAGCGAGGAGAAGCUUGCUUCUCUGUCGGCGAGUGGCGAACGGGUGAGUAUAGCAUCGGAACGUGCCAAGUAGUGGGGGAUAACCAAACGAAAGUUUGGCUAAUACCGCGUAAGCUCUAAGGAGGAAAGUAGGGGACCUAAAUAAGGCCUUACGCUAUUUGAUCGGCCGAUGUCGGAUUAGCUAGUUGGUGGGGUAAUGGCUCACCAAGGCAAUGAUCCGUAGCGGGUCUGAGAGGACGAUCCGCCACCCUGGGACUAGGCCACGGCCCAGAUUCCUACGGGGGCAGCAGUGGGGAAUUUUGGACAAUGGGGGAAACCCUGAUCCAGCCAUGCCGCGUGUAUGAAGAAGGCCUUAGGGUUGUAAAGUACUUUUGUUAGGGAAGAAAAGCUAGUUUUUAAUAAAAAUUAGUGAUGACGGUACCUAAAGAAUAAGCACCGGCUAACUACGUG